GACACCAGAAAUUGGCUUCAUACAUUGUACUCAUGUUGAGAACCGAAUCCGGGUCUUCGUCGUCACGAGCAAACACUUUCAUACAACCGGAU